rnacentral:rRNA from 1 species
AUGAACGCUGGCGGCGUGCCUAAUACAUGCAAGUCGAGCGAACAGACGAGGAGCUUGCUCCUCUGACGUUAGCGGCGGACGGGGGAGUAACACGUGGAUAACCUACCUAUAAGACUGGGAUAACUUCGGGAAACCGGAGCUAAUACCGGAUAAUAUAUUGAACCGCAUGGUUCAAUAGUGAAAGACGGUUUUGCUGUCACUUAUAGAUGGAUCCGCGCCGCAUUAGCUAGUUGGUAAGGUAACGGCUUACCAAGGCAACGAUGCGUAGCCGACCUGAGAGGGUGACCGGCCACACUGGAACUGAGACACGGUCCAGACUCCUACGGGAGGCAGCAGUAGGGAAUCUUCCGCAAUGGGCGAAAGCCUGCCGGAGCACCGCCGCGUGAGUGAUGAAGGUCUUCGGAUCGUAAACCUCUGUUAUUAGGGAAGACCAAAUGUGUAAGUAACUAUGCACGUCUUGACGGUACCUACUCAGAAAGCCACGGCUAACUACGUG